UUUGCCUGAUUGGGGAACUCUGCUUCUAUUUUAGUUUCUUCUUUGAAAUUAUUAGGGUACUGCUUGUACCGAUUAACCAUUUGAGGUUUGGAAAAAAAAUGCUUUUGAAGUAAGAAAAAGGGAGUAUAUAUGUCAUUGUUUAUAUAUCCAUUUCAUAUCAGAAGUUGUAUUUGUAUACAUUACUUGUAUUGCUUUUCAUGUUAAAAAUUGAAAAUCUGAUAUAUAUAUAUAUAUAUAUAUAUCUACUGGUUUAAGAUGUUGAGAAGAGAGACUCUUGUUUUGAUCAAUUGCCUAAAAAGGCACUCAAGUCCUUCUUCUUGGUCUUGAAUGCAUGCCUCCAGUUUGUUAAGCUGGUUCUGCACAUUAUCGACAUUUUGGUGUUGAGAUUUGCUUGUCUUGUGUCCAAUGAGGGAGUUCAAUGCAGCAUCCACUUGUGCAAACUCAUUUGCUUCUGCUUCUUCCUCACAAGCAACUUUUUUUGAUUGCAUUAUCUUGGAGACCAAUGACCAGCUGCUUGUCUUUGAUUUUGGCCCAGAGAUGGAGGACAAAAGUGACUCAAACACUGCAAGAGUGACUGCUUCUACUUCUCUCAACUUCUCAUGAUCCUUGUUGAGGGAAGAGGAAGCGAAUUUGUUUGCUAUUGCCUUCAAACUACCCACAGCCUUGUUGAUUGUCUUUUUCACCAUCUUCCUAGAGGAUGACAUCCUUGGCACUGCUGCUAACAUCCAAGAGUCUGAGGGAGCCAUCUAAUAUCUCAUUAGCCAAUUUCUCAUUCUGCUCUUGGGCUAAGGCCUGUUGAGUGAGGGGCAACUGAAGCAACCUAUCAACACAAUCAUGCAAUUCGUGGAGGCCACUUAGUUUGUGGCUUAUUGAUGAUGAUGAAGACGUGGAGGUGGCCUCAGAAGACCUCAAUCCACACAAAUGUUCUUCAACUUCUUGAAGGAUUGGGUGCGGCCUUGAAGGGAAGCUGUUAGAGCGAGUGUGGAAAGCCAUUUCUUCUUUCUGUGUUGUUUGAAGAUAGAACAGAAGACCUUGUAGUUGUGGUUGAUGUCUAAUUCAGAACUGAUGGGUUCUUUCCAUAUGCAUCUGCUUAAUAUAUAGUGUAGGUUGAGGAGGGGGACAUGAAAUCUCAUCCACUACAAUCAUUAGUGAGAGGUAACAUGAUUUCGAUGUGGAUCUAUAUGCUCCAGCGGCGAUGUUUAUGCA